rnacentral:rRNA from 1 species
GCAUGCAAGUCGAACGCAGCCAGGCCAUGUAGCAAUAUAUGGUGCUGCCGAGUGGCGAACUGGUGAGUAACACGUAAGAAUCUGCCCUAAGGUGGGGGAUAACUCAUGGAAACAUGAGCUAAUACCGCAUAAUGCGAAGCUUAUAGAGAUAUAAGUUUUGUUAAAGGAGAAAUCCGCCAUAGGAUGAGCUUGCGUCCCAUUAGCUAGUUGGCGGGGUAAAUGCCCACCAAGGCUAUGAUGGGUAGCUGGCCUGAGAGGGUGGUCAGCCACACUGGGACUGAGAUACGGCCCAGACUCCUACGGGAGGCAGCAGCUAAGAAUCUUCCUCAAUGGGGGAAACCCUGAAGGAGCGACACUGCGUGCAGGAUGAAGGCCCUUUGGGUUGUAAACUGCUUUUGCAGGGGAGAAAUAACCGAAUGGGAUGAUAGUACUCUGCGAAUAAGUCCCGGCUAACUACGUGCCAGCAGCCGCGGUAAUACGUAAGGGGCGAACGUUGCUCGGAAUCACUGGGCGUAAAGGGCCGGUAGGUGGCUUUAUAAGUCGGUUGUCAAAUACCUAUGCUCAACGUGGGAGAGGCGACCGAUACUGUAGAGCUUGAGUAGAGGAUGGGAUGAUGGAAUACCCGGUGUAGGGGUGAAAUCUGUUGAUAUCGGGUAGAACACCGAUGGCGAAAGCGAUCAUCUAGCCUCAUACUGACACUCAACGGCGAAAGCCAGGGGAGCGAACGGGAUUAGAUACCCCGGUAGUCCUGGCCAUAAACGAUGCAUGCUAGGUAUUGGCACCGCGUUGGUGCUGGUACCGCAGCUAACGCGUUAAGCAUGCCGCCUGGGGAGUAUGCUCGCAAGAGUGAAACUCAAAGGAAUUGACGG